rnacentral:pre_miRNA from 1 species
AAGUGUUUACAACCUUGUAGUUUCGUUGUGGAAAUGGUAACCAUUCGGGAAACCUACCUGGCGGAUACUGCUAAUGGCAUGACACCC